rnacentral:lncRNA from 1 species
GCCUGGGAGGCAGAGGUUGCAGUGAGCCAAGAUGGCACUGCUGCACUCUAGCCUGGGUGACAGUGAGACUGUCUUUAAAAAAAAAAAAAAAAAAAAAAAAAACCAAAAAAACAAAAACAAGAACAUUCCCAUCACGUCGGUAAGUAUCUCAUUCUCCUUUCCAAUAAAUCCUUUUAUUCCCAGAAACAAGCAUUCUUGUUUCAAUCAUUGUAACUUUGUUUUACCUGUUCUAGAACUUCAUUUAAUAGAAAUCAUACCUACUGCUUUGUAUGUGUCGUCUUCUGCUUAAUGAUUCACAUAAUGUUUUUGUGAUUCAUCCAUGUUGAUGGGUGUAUUAGGGGUUCUCUUUUUCAAUGCUGGAUAGUAUCCUGUGGUGAAAAUACACCACAAUUCGCUUAUCUGUGCACCUGUUGAUGAGCAUUGGGUUGUUUAUAUUUGUUGGCUAUUAUGAAUAAAGCUACCACGAAUAUUCAUAAAUCCUGUAUACAUGUUUUUAUGCCCUUAUGUUUUUAUGUAUUUUUGAUAAAUACCUAGGUGUGAAAUUAUUGACUCUUAGUGUUUAACUUGUAAGAAUGCUGCCAAACAGUUGUCUAAAGUAAUUGUAUCAUUUUAACCCCCCGCUAGAAGUGUGUAAGAGUUUAUGUUGCUUCACAUCCUCAUCAGCACUUUGUAAUUUCAGUCUUUUUAAUUAUAGCCUUUUUGUGGGUGAGAAACGCUAUCUCUUGCUAGUUUUAUUUUGCAUUUUCCUAGUGACUAAUGCCUCUUUUUAUGAACUCAUUGGCCGUUCAUAUAUUUUCUUUCUGUGAACUGCUUGUUUAUGUAUUGGCCAUUUUCUAAAAAUUAGAUAGUCUUUUUAAUAUUGAAUUAUAGGAAUUCUAUAUAUAUUUUGGAUACAUUCUUUUUUUUUCAUAUGUACUGUGAAUUUUCUCCUUUGUCUUGUCUAUUUAUUCCUUAAUGGUGUCUUUUGAAAAGCAGAAGUUAUAAAUACUGAUAGUGUCCAAUUUAUCUUUUUCAUUUGUGUAGUGCUUUCUUGUUCUAAGAACCUUUACCAAUCACCAGGUCACAAAAAUAUUUUCCUAUGUUUUCUUCUAGACACUCCAUAACUUCAAUCUUUACAUUCAGAUCUAUGUUCCAUCUCAAAUUAAUUUUUGUAUAUGGUGUGAGGUAAUGGUAGAGGUUUAUUUUUCUCUCCAUAAGACUCUCCAAUUGUUCUAGCACUAUUUGUUCAAAGACUAAUCCUCGCGCUAUUCAAUUUCCUUGGCAUCUUUGUCAAAAAUCAGUUGACUAUAUAUGUGUGGGUGUAUUUCUAGACUGUUGUACUCCAUUGAUCUAAUUUUUUUUCUUAUACUUACUGCUCGAUUGCCUGGAAGCUAGGUAAUAAUAAGGAUUCAAACUUUGUUCUUUAUUUCAAGAUUGUUUGGGUUAGUUUAGAUACUUUCCUUUUACAUAUAUAUUUCCUGAUCAGCUUCUCCAUUUCUUUUAAAAAGCCUUGCUGGGAGUUUAUUUGCUUUGGUAUUGAAUCUCUUGAUCAAUUUGAGGAGGAUCAAAAUCCUGAAAGUGUUAAGCGUUACCAUCCAUGAGCAUGCAUCUCUCCAUUUAUUUAAGGCUUCUUUAUUUAUAAACAUUUCAGUGAUAUUUGAUGAUUUUGAAUGUGGAGGUCUUAUACUUUUUUGUUAAAUUAACUCUUACACAUUUGAUUUUUUUAUGCUAUUGUAAAUGGCAUUAUAAAAUUUCUUUUUUCCAACUGUUUGUUUCUAAUAUAUAGAAAUACAGUUGAUUCUAGCAAACUGCUCUCAUAUCCUGUGAUCUUAAAAUUUAUUUAUUCACCUUUUCCUUUUUGUUAAAUAGAUUCUGUAGAAUUCUCUACAUCUCUGAAUAUAGUUUUACUUCUUCUCCAAUUUUUAUGGCUUUUGUUUCUUUUUCUUGUUUUAAUGCACUGGCUAUAGCCUGUAGGACAGUGUUGAACAGAGGUUUUGAGACAGACAUCAUUGCUUUAUUCAGGACUUCUCUAUUAUAUGUGAUGCUAGUUGUAUGUUUUCUGUACCUAUACUUCAUUAGAUUAAGGAGUUUGAAUUUAUUUCUAGUUUGCUGAGAGUUCUUUUAUAAAUGUGUUCAUAUAUAUAUGUUUUAUAUUUUUCUUAUUCUUACUAUCUGCAUAUUAGAGGGAGUUUAGCUCAUUGGUUAAAAGGAUUUGUUCCGGAAACCUAACUCCAAAUCUUUGAACUUCCUAGAAACCUGGCCUGUUUAUUUACCCCGUAUGUCACUUUCCUUUAUCUGUAACUGGAAAAUGUGUACGAAGAGCUUAAUACAAUGACUGAUACACAGUGAGUUCUCCAUAAAUGUUAGUUAUUAUUUUAAUAUUACAGCAUCUGUGGAAACAGUGGGUUUAUAUUUCAGCGUCCUGAGAAACACUCAUCCUGAACAACGGGAACAUUGGCCACAUCCGCCAUUGUCAAUUUUAAAUAAAAGAUAUGAUGACU